AGCAGCCGCGGUAAUUCCAGCUCCAAUAGCGUAUAUUAAAGUUGUUGCAGUUAAAAAGCUCGUAGUUGAAUUUCGGGACCAAUAUGUCGGUCGUGCUUCGGUACGUACUUGCAUUAUUGGUUUCUCCCUUCUGACGAACCAUGAUGUCAUUAAUUUGAUGUCAUAGGAAAUCAGGACUGUUACUUUGAAAAAAUUAGAGUGUUUAAAGCAGGCUCGUGCUUGAAUACAUUAGCAUGGAAUAAUGAAAUAGGACGUUUGAUUCUAUUUUGUUGGUUCCUAGGAUCGACGUAAUGAUUAAUAGGGAUAGUUGGGGGCAUUAGUAUUCAAUUGUCAGAGGUGAAAUUCUUGGAUUUAUUGAAGACUAACUACUGCGAAAGCAUUUGCCAAGGAUGUUUUCAUUAAUCAAGAACGAAAGUUAGGGGAUCGAAGACGAUCAGAUACCGUCGUAGUCUUAACCAUAAACUAUGCCGACUAGGGAUCGGAUGAUGUUAAUUUUUAAUGA
rnacentral:rRNA from 1 species